UGGGGAAUAUUGGGCAAUGGGCGCAAGCCUGACCCAGCAACGCCGCGUGAAGGAAGAAGGCUUUCGGGUUGUAAACUUCUUUUUAAGAGGGAAGAGCAGAAGACGGUACCUCUUGAAUAAGCCACGGCUAACUACGUGCC
rnacentral:rRNA from 1 species